rnacentral:rRNA from 1 species
AGCAGCCGCGGUAAUUCCAGCUCCAAUAGCGUAUAUUAAAGUUGUUGCAGUUAAAAAGCUCGUAGUUGAAUUUCGAAAUUUUUUAUCGGUUGAAUCAACAGGUUCUUACUGAUUUUAAGAAUUUCUACCUUCUGGAGAACCUUAAUGUCAUUUAUUUGAUGUUUUGGGAAACCAGGACUGUUACCUUGAAAAAUUAGAGUGUUUAAAGCAGGCUUAUGUCUGAAUAUAUUAGCAUGGAAUAAUGAAAUAGGACGGCAUGGUUCUAUUUUGUUGGUUUCUAGGAUCACCGUAAUGAUUAAUAGGGAUAGUUGGGGGCAUUAGUAUUCAAUUGUCAGAGGUGAAAUUCUUGGAUUUAUUGAAGACUAACUUCUGCGAAAGCAUUUGCCAAGGAUGUUUUCAUUAAUCAAGAACGAAAGUUAGGGGAUCGAAGACGGUCAGAUACCGUCGUAG